rnacentral:rRNA from 1 species
UGGGGAAUAUUGCACAAUGGGCGCAAGCCUGAUGCAGCCAUGCCGCGUGUAUGAAGAAGGCCUUCGGGUUGUAAAGUACUUUCAGCGGGGAGGAAGGGAGUAAAGUUAAUACCUUUGCUCAUUGACGUUACCGACAGAAGAAGCACCGGCUAACUCCGUGCCAGCAGCCGCGGUAAUACGGAGGGUGCAAGCGUUAAUCGGAAUUACUGGGCGUAAAGCGCACGCAGGCGGUUGAUUGAGUCAGAUGUGAAAUCCCCGGGCUUAACCCGGGAAUUGCAUCUGAGACUGGUCAGCGAGAGUCGUGUAGAGGGGGGUAGAAUUCCAUGUGUAGCGGGGAAAUGCGUAGAGAUGUGGAGGAAUACCGGUGGCGAAGGCGGCCCCCUGGACAAAGACUGACGCUCAGGUGCGAAAGCGUGGGGAGCAAACAGG